AGCGGCGGACGGGUGAGUAACGCGUGGGUAACCUGCCUCAUACAGGGGGAUAACAGUUGGAAACGGCUGCUAAUACCGCAUAAGCGCACAGUACCGCAUGGUACGGUGUGAAAAACUCCGGUGGUAUGAGAUGGACCCGCGUCUGAUUAGGUAGUUGGUGGGAUAACGGCCUACCAAGCCGACGAUCAGUAGCCGACCUGAGAGGGUGACCGGCCACAUUGGGACUGAGACACGGCCCAA
rnacentral:rRNA from 1 species